GGGCGGUUAGCUCAGCUGGUUAGAGCGCUGCGUCGACAUCGCAGAGGCCAUUGGUUCAAAUCCAAUAUCGCCCACCA
rnacentral:tRNA from 1 species